rnacentral:rRNA from 1 species
AGUGAACGCUGGCGGUAGGCCUAACACAUGCAAGUCGAACGGCAGCACAGUAAGAGCUUGCUCUUACGGGUGGCGAGUGGCGGACGGGUGAGGAGUACAUCGGAAUCUACUUUUUUGUGGGGGAUAACGUAGGGAAACUUACGCUAAUACCGCAUACGACCUACGGGUGAAAGCAGGGGAUCUUCGGACCUUGCGCGAUUGAAUGAGCCGAUGUCGGAUUAGCUAGUUGGCGGGGUAAAGGCCCACCAAGGCGACGAUCCGUAGCUGGUCUGAGAGGAUGAUCAGCCACACUGGAACUGAGACACGGUCCAGACUCCUACGGGAGGCAGCAGUGGGGAAUAUUGGACAAUGGGCGCAAGCCUGAUCCAGCCAUACCGCGUGGGUGAAGAAGGCCUUCGGGUUGUAAAGCCCUUUUGUUGGGAAAGAAAAGCAGCAGGUUAAUACCCCGCUGUUCUGACGGUACCCAAAGAAUAAGCACCGGCUAACUUCGUG